rnacentral:rRNA from 1 species
GAUGAACGCUAGCGGCAGGCCUAACACAUGCAAGUCGAGGGGUAUAUUGAGCUUGCUUAAUAGAGACCGGCGCACGGGUGAGUAACGCGUAUGCAACCUACCUUCUACAGGGGAAUAGCCCGAAGAAAUUCGGAUUAAUGCUCCAUGGUUUAAUUGGAUGGCAUCAUCUGAUUAAUAAAGAUUUAUCGGUAGAAGAUGGGCAUGCGUAUCAUUAGCUAGUUGGUGUGGUAACGGCAUACCAAGGCGACGAUGAUUAGGGGUCCUGAGAGGGAGAUCCCCCACACUGGUACUGAGACACGGACCAGACUCCUACGGGAGGCAGCAGUGAGGAAUAUUGGUCAAUGGAGGCAACUCUGAACCAGCCAUGCCGCGUGCAGGAUGACGGUCCUAUGGAUUGUAAACUGCUUUUGUACAGGAAGAAACCUCGCUACGUGUAGUGAUUUGACGGUACUGUAAGAAUAAGGAUCGGCUAACUCCGUGC